GACGAACGCUGGCGGCGUGCUUAACACAUGCAAGUCGUACGGUAAGGCCCUUUCGGGGGUACACGAGUGGCGGACGGGUGAGUAACACGUGAGUAACCUGCCCACAACUUUGGGAUAACGCUAGGAAACUGGUGCUAAUACUGGAUAUGUGCUCCUGCUGCAUGGUGGGGGUUGGAAAGCUCCGGCGGUUGUGGAUGGACUCGCGGCCUAUCAGCUUGUUGGUGGGGUAGUGGCCUACCAAGGCGGCGACGGGUAGCCGGCCUGAGAGGGUGACCGGCCACAUUGGGACUGAGAUACGGCCCAGACUCCUACGGGAGGCAGCAGUGGGGAAUAUUGCACAAUGGGCGCAAGCCUGAUGCAGCAACGCCGCGUGCGGGAUGACGGCCUUCGGGUUGUAAACCGCUUUCAGCAGGGACGAAGCUUUUUGUGACGGUACCUGCAGAAGAAGCACCGGCUAACUACGUG
rnacentral:rRNA from 1 species